rnacentral:lncRNA from 1 species
GAGCUUCCUGGCUGCUUUGUUUACCUAAUCAAGCCUGGGCAAUGGCGGGUGCCCCUCCUCCAGCCUCGCUGCCGCCUUGCAGUUUGAUCUCAGACUGCUGUGCUAGCAAUCAGCGAGACUCCGUGGGCGUAGGACCCUCUGAGCCAGGUGUGGGAUAUAAUCUCGUGGUGCGCCGUUUUUUAAGCCCGUCGGAAAAGCACAGUAUUCGGGUGGGAGUGACCCGAUUUUCCAGUUUCAAACAUCUUCAAGGCAGAAACGUGUUGUAUUUGCAUGCUGUUUAGAAGGCAGUGUACUGAAUAGUACCAGUUUUUUCAGAGACAAAUAUGGUGUACUUAUUUGAAAAGAAAGGAUGAUACACAUACAUAGCCAUCCAAAAAAUCCUGCAACCAGUAGCAAAUUAUAUUACACAUUGGACACAUCCUAAAUGAUGCAAGGUUGCUAAUUCUCUCUGUUGGUAAUAUCUUUUGAUGCUGUUGUGUCCAGAAUUGAUUCAUUCCUGUGGGUUCUUGGUCUCACUGACUUCAAGAAUAAAGCUGCGGACCCUAGUGUUAUUAAUCCAUGUUGUGAGAAGGGAGGUGAAUAAAGGAGGUGUGCUAAGACACAAAUCUGCUGUUGCAGUCACAGGAUGAUUCAAUGAAGCCGGCUGGCCAUAUGCAGGCCUCCUUGGACUCCUUCACCCGCUAAUAAUGGAGAGUUGCAGAAUUCUCAGUUGAGCACAAAGAGUGAACUGAUUCAAAAGGUGUGACUGAUCACUUGCACAUGCUACUGCCAAUUAUUCCUUCAGCUAGAGCUUAUGGGAUAGUUUUCCUCAACUAACUGUAUACUGACGGUAGUAACUUGGUAUGAAGAUCUGGAAAAGGACACAUGUGGUAAUAAGACUUCCUAAAUUUCAGUUUUGAACUCCGUAAAAUGUACUAACUGAACCUAGACUAACUACUAUAGAAACAUGGGAUCCAGAGGCAAUCAUACAUUUCAUAUAU